GAGGCAGCGUGGCCGAGUGGUUAGGGCGUCGGGCUUGUAAUCCGGAGGUGAAGGGUUCAAGCCCUCCACCCUUA